GUGUCAGCCGCCGCGGUAAUACGGAGGGUGCAAGCGUUAUCCGGAUUCACUGGGUUUAAAGGGUGCGUAGGUGGAUUGCCAAGUCCGUGGUGAAAUCUUCGAGCUUAACUCGGAAACUGCCGUGGAUACUGGUAAUCUUGAAUAUCGUGGAGGUUAGCGGAAUAUGUCAUGUAGCGGUGAAAUGCUUAGAUAUGACAUAGAACACCAAUUGCGAAGGCAGCUGGCUACGCGAAUAUUGACACUGAGGCACGAAAGCGUGGGGAUCAAACAGGAUUAGAUACCCUGGUAGUCCACGCCCUAAACUAUGGAUACUCGACAUACGCGAUACACUGUGUGUGUCUGAGCGAAAGCAUUAAGUAUCCCACCUGGGAAGUACGACCGCAAGGUUGAA
rnacentral:rRNA from 1 species